rnacentral:tRNA from 1 species
UAGCGGUGAAAUUCCGUUAAUAUUUCU